rnacentral:sRNA from 26 species
GUGCUGAGUGGGUAUUUAUAUUCAAUACAGAUGAUAGACAAAGUAAAGAACCUUGCAUAUUUAUGACGAUGAGGCCGGAGUCUUCUUGUCAGAUAAAACGUUAGAUGCCAUUAAUGAAUUGAGAACUAUUCUAUUAUU